rnacentral:tRNA from 1 species
GUCAGGGUGGUGUAGUGGCUUGAGUGUUGGACUAUGACUCUGGAGACCAGGGUUGGAUUCCCAGCUCAUUCA